rnacentral:rRNA from 1 species
GAUGAACGCUGGCGGCGUGCCUAAUACAUGCAAGUCGAGCGAACAGAUGAGGAGCUUGCUCCUCUGACGUUAGCGGCGGACGGGUGAGUAACACGUGGAUAACCUACCUAUAAGACUGGGAUAACUUCGGGAAACCGGAGCUAAUACCGGAUAAUAUAUUUAACCGCAUGGUUCAAUAGUGAAAGACGGUUUUGCUGUCCCUUAUAGAUGGAUCCGCGCCGCAUUAGCUAGUUGGUAAGGUAACGGCUUACCAAGGCAACGAUGCGUAGCCGACCUGAGAGGGUGAUCGGCCACACUGGAACGGAGACACGGUCCAGACUCCUACGGGAGGCAGCAGUAGGGAAUCUUCCGCAAUGGGCGAAAGCCUGACGGAGCAACGCCGCGUGAGUGAUGAAGGUCUUCGGAUCGUAAAACUCUGUUAUUAGGGAAGAACAAAUGUGUAAGUAACUAUGCACGUCUUGACGGUACCUAAUCAGAAAGCCACGGCUAACUACGUG